CCUGGUAGCUCAGAUGGUAAAGCAUCUGCCUACAAUGUGGGAGACCCAGGUUCAAUCCCUGGGUCAGGA
rnacentral:tRNA from 1 species